ACGCUGGCGGCGUGCCUAAUACAUGCAAGUCGAACGGCUUUUCUAUGGAAGCUUGCUUCCACUGAGAAGAUAGUGGCGAACGGGUGAGUAACACGUGGGUAACCUGCCCAUAAGAGGGGGAUAACAUCCGGAAACGGGUGCUAAUACCACAUAGUUUUCUUGAUCGCAUGAUCGGGAAAGGAAAGACGGCCUUUGUGCUGUCGCUUAUGGAUGGACCCGCGGCGUAUUAGUUAGUUGGUGAGGUAACGGCUCACCAAGACGAUGAUACGUAGCCGACCUGAGAGGGUGAUCGGCCACAUUGGGACUGAGACACGGCCCAAACUCCUACGGGAGGCAGCAGUAGGGAAUCUUCCGCAAUGGACGAAAGUCUGACGGAGCAACGCCGCGUGAGUGAAAGAAGGUUUUCGGAUCGUAAAACUCUGUUGUCAGAGAAGAACAAGUUGGAGAGUAACUGCUCCAGCCUUGACGGUAUCUGACCAGAAAGCCACGGCUAACUACGUGCCAGCCGCCGC
rnacentral:rRNA from 1 species